GUUUCGAUUCAUGUUAGGGUGAUUGGUGCAGGAUAAUUGGCCUUCUGUGAUGUUUGCAAUGGCAGGAGGGGUGGUACUUAGCCUUGGAAAUCUCUCAACUCAGUAUGCUUGGGCUUUUGUUGGCUUAUCAGUCACAGAAGUGAUCACUGCAAGCAUAACAGUUGUUAUAGGAACAACCUUGAAUUACUUUUUAGACAAUAGAAUUAAUAGAGUCGUGAUCCUUUUCCCUGGUGUGGCUGCUUCUUGGUUGCAGUUUGCCUUGCUUCUCCUGUCCACUAAUCUAAUGCAGCUGAUAAUAAAGAAAAGCUUGAAGGUUUUUAAUCUAAAGAGGGGUAUGUUUCAUUCAUUAAAUGUUAAGGUUAUCAAAGAAUUAUCUUGUUUCCAGGUGACAUUCUUCUUUCUUUUUAUUAGAAAGAGUUCUUUUUUCUAACUUUAUUUUUAGUUUUAUUGUAGAAAUUGGGCUAAACCUUAUAUUAAAGAUGCUAAAGAAGUUUCCAGGUAUAUUGAGAUGAUUUCUUUGGAGCAAUUCUUGACAACAUUUGUAGUUGAGGCCUUUAGAAUGGAAGAAUGUAUUUCACUAAUUUUUGUAUACAUUUCUUGUUUUGUAUUUAGUGAUAAAGGAAUCUGAAUUGGGCAUAAAUUAUGUUGUAAUAUGAUUUCUUAAGCCUA